UUGAGUUUGAUCGUGGCUCAGAUUGGACGCUGGCGGCAGGCCUAACACAUGCCAAGUCGAACGGUAACAGGAAGCAGCUUGCUGCUUUGCUGACGAGUGGCGGACGGGUGAGUAAUGUCUGGGAAACUGCCCGAUGGAGGGGGAUAACUACUGGAAACGGUAGCUAAUACCGCAUAACGUCGCAAGACCAAAGAGGGGGACCUUCGGGCCUCUUGCCAUCGGAUGUGCCCAGAUGGGAUUAGCUUGUUGGUGAGGUAACGGCUCACCAAGGCGACGAUCCCUAGCUGGUCUGAGAGGAUGACCAGCCACACUGGAACUGAGACACGGUCCAGACUCCUACGGGAGGCAGCAGUGGGGAAUAUUGCACAAUGGGCGCAAGCCUGAUGCAGCCAUGCCGCGUGUAUGAAGAAGGCCUUCGGGUUGUAAAGUACUUUCAGCGGGGAGGAAGGGGAUGUGGUUAAUAACCACAUUCAUUGACGUUACCCGCAGAAGAAGCACCGGCUAACUCCGUGCCAGCCGCCGCCGUAACACAAA
rnacentral:rRNA from 1 species